CGGUGCUUUUCAACCACAAUUUAGAUUUUGAAGAUUUCUUUCUCAGUGAUCUAACAGAAAGGACAGCUGUCUCCUGCUUUGUGGAUUUCCAUGGCUUGGUUGUGCUCCUGAGCCCAUCCUGGUGCUGGAGAACUCCAAACUCCUCUGAAUUUUGCUUUUUCUCUCCCAUCACUUCAAAUCUCUGCUGUUGUUUAUGAUCUGGCUGAACACGGGAAAGGGUAUGCAGGAAGGAUCUGAAGGACAGACCCCCCGAGGUUGAGAUUUGCCUUUUCUACUUGUAUUUUCUCAUUCAUGGUAUCCAAUGGCCUGUUGUUCUGCUACAACCCCACUAAACCUUUUUUAGUCUAGAUCCUCUUCCUUUCUUCUGACAAAGUGUCUUGAAGUGUCAGCUGAAAAUAUCCUGGCAGGAUGUGGAGACUGAAGAAUGCUUCAGGGGAGCUUCAUUUGCCACAGCCUUGUGAGAUGUUACAGAACCAGUUCCUCAGUGUGGAGCUAGGGGGAGGUACCGUCUUUCACAUGAGAUAAAAUCAGGAUCCUUGGGACCCUAACAAAUUCUAAGAUGCUUUUUGCAAGAGCAGAGAUGUUAGGCCAUUUUACAUGGCUAAAUGUUUGUGCAGCUUCCCAGCAAUCUGUGUCCCAGCUCUGGGCAUCCUGUAGUGUUAGAACAUCUACCUCCCCAGUGAUGUCUGUGCUUUCUCUGAGCAUCGGUGCAGGAGAGAUAGCAGAUCCAGUAUGCUUCAGCAUCUGGGAUGAGAGAUAUUAAUUGCAGGCAUGAGUCUUGUGGGAGAUUUCCAGGGACAGGAGCAAUGAUUCACUGAGGAGUUCCCUUUGGUGUCGCCCACCCAUGUCACAACAAGCUGUAGAAGAACCAGCACUGAAAUGGAAGCAUCUCCCAGCUGCAGUCGUACUGCUCUCAUAACAACUGGACCUCAGCCAGUCUCACUUCUGCAGGGGGCUGGCUUUGAUGUAGGGGAGUUUCUGCACAAGGAUGGCAGUACUUGGAGCGUGCAGUGAUGGGAAAUCCUUCCUGGUGUGCAGAGCUCUGGGGCUGAAGGUGCAGGACUGGUUAGCAGAAGUGCAAGGUCUCCUGCUUAUGAGAUAUGAUGGGAUAUUUGGAGAAAGUGUAAGGCUUCGGGCUGGAGCACUGCUGUUGCAGAUAGAGAGCUGCUCUCUGUGAUCUACCUUGAGUGGUGCUACCAGGCAGCGUUCAGCUGCAGAGCUCACUUUGGAAGCAUCCGGCAGCUGCCAAAGGGAGCGCUCCCCUGGUGCCUGGUAUUUCUUAACAAGAAGUCCCCAGCCGAUGCCUGCUGUCAUGUUUACCCAACUCCCUGGCGGAUGGUGACUCAGCUGCUCUUUGAUUCCUGCAGCACUUUCUGCUGAGGCGGCAUUACGGCCCUUAUCAGCCCUGCUCCGUCGGGCCGGCACAGCGCUGGCGCCUGCAUGCAUCCCCUGCGUGACGCCGGGCUGCUGAGCUCCCAGGGCACCCAGAGCUGCUCCCUGCGUUACUGCAGGCAGCCCCUGCACAGAGGUGUGCUGCAGGGCUCUGGGUGCCAACCUCUCACCCCAGCCCUGUGAGCAGGACGCGUGUCCUCGCAGCAGGGAUGGGCGGACGGAGCGAUGCGAUCAUUUGUUCCUGUGUUUAAAUAAAGUAGGGCCAAAGCAAGGGUGAGGCAGUGCAGUGUGAGCAGUGCUGGGAAUGCUCACUGUCAUUCCUGAAGAGCAGAGAGAG
rnacentral:lncRNA from 1 species